rnacentral:rRNA from 1 species
AGACGUAGGGGGCGAGCGUUGUCCGGAAUUACUGGGCGUAAAGAGCACGUAGGCGGGGACUUAAGUCAGGUGUGAAAGACCGGGGCUCAACUCCGGGGUGGCACUUGAAACUGGGUUUCUUGAGGGCAGGAGAGGGAAGCAGAAUUCCUGGUGUAGCGGUGAAAUGCGUAGAAAUCAGGAGGAAUACCAGUGGCGAAGGCGGCUUUCUGGACUGACCCUGACGCUGAGGUGCGAAAGCGUGGGUAGCAAACAGGAUUAGAUACCCUGGUAGUCCACGCUGUAAACGAUGGAUACUAGGUGUAGGAGGUAUCGACCCCUUCUGUGCCGCAGCUAACGCAAUAAGUAUCCCGCCUGGGGAGUACGAUCGCAAGGUUGAA